rnacentral:rRNA from 1 species
GACGAACGCUGGCGGCGUGCUUAACACAUGCAAGUCGAACGGAAAGGCCCUGCUUUUGUGGGGUGCUCGAGUGGCGAACGGGUGAGUAACACGUGAGUCACCUGCCCUUGACUUUGGGAUAACUUCAGGAAACUGGGGCUAAUACCGGAUAGGAGCUCCUGCUGCAUGGUGGGGGUUGGAAAGUUUCGGCGGUUGGGGAUGGACUCGCGGCUUAUCAGCUUGUUGGUGGGGUAGUGGCUUACCAAGGCUUUGACGGGUAGCCGGCCUGAGAGGGUGACCGGCCUCAUUGGGACUGAGAGACGGCCCAGACUCCUACGGGAGGCAGCAGUGGGGAAUAUUGCACAAUGGGCGGAAGCCUGAGGCAGCAACGCCGCGUGCGGGAUGACGGCCUUCGGGGUGUAAACCGCUUUCGCCUGUGACGAAGCGUGAGUGACGGUAAUGGGUAAAGAAGCACCGGCUAACUACGUG